AUGGCUGGAAAUUUGGGAAGAGGAUAUGGAGGUCCUAGAUUCAAUCGUGGAGGUGAAGGGGGGUUUGCUAGAGGGAGAUUCAAGUACAGUAACAGGGGAGGUGGAUGGAAUGGAGGAAGAUUUACUACAACUGACAGAUUCGGCAGUUUUGGGAGAGGAAGUGGUAGAUUUGGUGUUGGAAAUGGGGGUGGCAGAGGAGAUGGAGAUGAAGACGAAUUCGCUGCAGAAGGAAGGGAAGAAAAUCUGAUUUGGCAAGCUAAGACAGGGAGGAAAGUGGCAGUGGAAGAGAGGAUUGAAAGAGCAAAUGGUGAGGGAGAGAGCUCUGGAAUGGAGAAGGGAAAGGACAAGGAUAUGAUGAUCCAGAAAGAGCAGAGUGCUCAGCAACAGCUACUGGCCUCUCUGCUCUCUCAGUUAGUGCAAGGACUGAGAGGAGGGGAGAAAGAGAUGAUAGAAGGAGUGAUUGGAAAACCUCUGGAGGUUCAGUCUGGUAGUGAUGGCAUGAGGAGAGAAGAGAAAAACGGAGAUCCCAUGCAGAAAGCUGACAAGAGAGUGGACCAAGACCCAGUGACGGAGACGAAGAAACAGGGGGGGAGAAGCAACUGGCAGUUGAAUUUAGACGAGGGAAAGAAGGGAAUGGAGAGACUUAACAAACAAGUAUGUGGUAAAUGCAAAGACCCAAGACACUCUACCAGGGAUUGUAGGGUGGGGCACUGCUUGAUAUGUGGAAGGGAUAACCAUAUUACUAGUGAAUGCAACUUGCUGAAACAGAUGAAACCAGUCCCCAAAUAUGUUGGAUAUGCUGCCAAAGGGCUGGGGAUCCUAUUGGUUCAAAGCUACAAAGAUGUGCUUGUAGCUGAACACACAAAUCCCUUAGGUGUGGUGAUCAUUAGAGAAGGAAAUAUUAAUGAAACUGAACUCACAAAGGCUAUGGGAGAGAUGUUUGAUUGGGGGUGGCAGUGGAGAGUUAAGGAGUUUGGGGAAAAUGGUUUCAUGAUGAGAUUCCCCAACAAGGCAAAAUUGGUAGAGCUGGCUAACUGUAAUGACUUCAAUCUGCUUGGGACAGGGGUGGUCAUUAAGGUCCAACCCUGGUCCCUGGACCAUCAAGCAAUGGGGAAAAUGCAUACUGCCUGGGUUAAGCUGAGCAAAGUGCCUGAUUGUUUCAGACACUUCUUGGGCAUUUGUGAAGUUUCUGCUGCAGUGGGGCCUGUGUUGGAAGUGGAUAUGGAUAUAGUUAAUGAAGAAAAAGUUAAGGUCAAAUGUGGAAUCAGAGAUGUGGAAAGAACUCCACCUCAAGUGGAAAUCAGUGCCCCUGAUCUACUCAUGUUCAGAAUCGGGGUGGAAGUGGAGAAGGUGGUGGAAAUUGGCUGGUAUAAAGAGGAUAAGAGGAAAAAUGAAAACACACAUAACCUAGAAGAUGGGGAUGGAGAAACAGAGAAUAGAAAGAGAUUCAGGGUGGAAGAUACAGAACAUAAAGGCAUUACACUAGGAUGUUUGUCUCUCAAACAAAGAGAGGAAGUAGAUGGAAAACUGGUCAAAAUGAAAGCACAAUUAGAAGAAAGCAUUAUACAAUGGCAAGAUGAGAUGUAUGCUGAGAGAAGGAAGUGGCAAAAAGAAAGUGACAUCAUGUUCAACAAGAUGAAGACCUUGGAAGAAGACAAAGCCAGACACAGUGCAUUGUGGGUUAAAGCUGAACAAAGAAUUAAGGAUCUUGAGUGCAAUCAACAAGCAAUGCAGAAAAAGAUCAAUCAACAACAGGAAGAGAUCCAAAAGUUAAUACAAGAGGCUAUUAACAGGGAACAAUAUGAGAUGGAGCUGACUAAUAUGGAUCUGGAAGAUUAUGAGAAGGAAACCCAAUAA
rnacentral:rRNA from 1 species